rnacentral:rRNA from 1 species
AACAAACGCUGGCGGCGUGCCUAAUACAUGCAAGUCGAACGGGGAAAGCUUUCGGGUGAGUACUAGUGGCGCACGGGUGAGUAACGCGUGGAUAAUCUGCCUUAGAGUGGGGGAUAGCUAGUCGAAAGAUUAGCUAAUACCGCAUAAGACCACAAGAACUGCGGUUCAAGGGGUCAAAGGUUUUUCGCUCUAAGAUGAGUCCGCGUAAGAUUAGCUAGUUGGUAGGGUAACGGCCUACCAAGGCGACGAUCUUUAAAUGGUCUGAGAGGAUGAUCAGUCACACUGGAACUGAGACACGGUCCAGACUCCUACGGGAGGCAGCAGUAGGGAAUAUUGCACAAUGGAGGAAACUCUGAUGCAGCGACGCCGCGUGAGUGAUGAAGGCCUUCGGGUCGUAAAGCUCUGUCGCAGGGGAAUAACACAAUGAAGGUACCCUGUAAGAAAGGAUCGGCUAACUUCGUGCCAGCAGCCGCCGUAACAC